rnacentral:misc_RNA from 1 species
AGCUUACAAGAUGACAAAUGGAAUUUGUCCCAUUAAUAUUAUUAAAGUAACCAAAAGUCUAACAAAAAACAAAUGUAGGCAAUGGAAGCAUCAAUAAAUGAAAUAACAGAUGCACAAUAGAUUAGUACAACAAUAUUAGUUGGUCAUUAAAAUCUCGGAUGAUCAGCAGGACUCGACUGCUUCAAUUCUCGGAUGUUCGUAUACAAGUAACUUAUCUGGUCAUUAAAAAUUGAUGUUGUAGGUAGUUGGGAAAAUCCAGCAUAAUUUCUGUCCACCUUUGCUAAGCAUAAGUCAGCAAUAUACUUGAAUAGUUCAUGCUUCUGGGCAAAAGGU